UACGGAUUCCCUAGUAGCGGCGAGCGAAGCGGGAAGAGCUCAAAUUUAUAAUCUGGCACCUUCGGUGUCCGAGUUGUAAUCUCUAGAAAUGUUUUCCGCGUUGGACCGCACACAAGUCUGUUGGAAUACAGCGGCAUAGUGGUGAGACCCCCGUAUAUGGUGCGGACGCCCAGCGCUUUGUGAUACAUUUUCGAAGAGUCGAGUUGUUUGGGAAUGCAGCUCAAAUUGGGUGGUAAAUUCCAUCUAAAGCUAAAUAUUGGCGAGAGACCGAUAGCGAACAAGUACCGUGAGGGAAAGAUGAAAAGCACUUUGGAAAGAGAGUUAACAGUACGUGAAAUUGUUGGAAGGGAAACGCUUGAAGUCAGACUUGCUUGCCGAGCAAUCGGUUUGCAGGCCAGCAUCAGUUUUCCGGGAUGGAUAAUGGUAGAGAGAAGGUAGCAGUUUCGGCUGUGUUAUAGCUCUCUGCUGGAUACAUCUUGGGGGACUGAGGAACGCAGUGUGCCUUUGGCGGGGGUUUCGACCUCUUCACACUUAGGAUGCUGGUGGAAUGGCUUUAAACGACCCGUCUUAA
rnacentral:rRNA from 1 species